rnacentral:rRNA from 1 species
AGAGUUUGAUCAUGGCUCAGGACGAACGCUGGCGGCGUGCCUAAUACAUGCAAGUCGAGCGGAAUGAAGAAGAAGCUUGCUUCUUCUGAUUUUAGCGGCGGACGGGUGAGUAACACGUGGGCAACCUACCUUGUAGAUUGGGAUAACUCCGGGAAACCGGGGCUAAUACCGAAUAAUCCAUUUUGCUUCAUGGCGAAAUGUUAAAAGGCGGCUUCGGCUGUCACUGCAAGAUGGGCCCGCGGCGCAUUAGCUAGUUGGUAAGGUAACGGCUUACCAAGGCGACGAUGCGUAGCCGACCUGAGAGGGUGAUCGGCCACACUGGGACUGAGACACGGCCCAGACUCCUACGGGAGGCAGCAGUAGGGAAUCUUCCACAAUGGACGAAAGUCUGAUGGAGCAACGCCGCGUGAGUGAAGAAGGUUUUCGGAUCGUAAAACUCUGUUGUAAGGGAAGAACACGUACGAGAGUAACUGCUCGUACCUUGACGGUACCUUAUUAGAAAGCCACGGCUAACUACGUGCCAGCAGCCGCGGUAAUACGUAGGUGGCAAGCGUUGUCCGGAAUUAUUGGGCGUAAAGCGCGCGCAGGCGGUCCUUUAAGUCUGAUGUGAAAGCCCACGGCUCAACCGUGGAGGGUCAUUGGAAACUGGGGGACUUGAGUACAGAAGAGGAAAGCGGAAUUCCAAGUGUAGCGGUGAAAUGC